rnacentral:misc_RNA from 1 species
GAUGAAGAACGUAGCGAAAUGCGAUAAGUAAUGUGAAUUGCAGAAUUCCGUGAAUCAUCGAAUCUUUGAACGCACAUUGCGCCCUCUGGUAUUCCGGGGGGUAUGCCUGUCCGAGCGUCAUUUGCAACCCUCAAGCCCGGCUUGUGUGAUGGGUGCCGUCCCCUACGGGACGCGCCCCGAAGGCAAUGGCGGCGUCGCGGUUAUCCGAUCAGCCAAAGUGUAUGGGGCUUUGUCACUCACUUUACGGCGCGGACCGGCGCCAGUCCGAAUCAAUCUUUUUUCUAAAGUUGACCUCGGAUCAGGUAGGGAUACCCGCUGAACUUAAGCAUAUCAAUAAGCGGAGGA